UACGUAGGGUGCGAGCGUUAAUCGGAAUUACUGGGCGUAAAGCGUGCGCAGGCGGUUUUGUAAGUCAGAUGUGAAAUCCCCGGGCUUAACCUGGGAACUGCGUUUGUGACUGCAAGACUCGAGUACGGCAGAGGGGGGUGGAAUUCCACGUGUAGCAGUGAAAUGCGUAGAGAUGUGGAGGAACACCGAUGGCGAAGGCAGCCCCCUGGGUCGAUACUGACGCUCAUGCACGAAAGCGUGGGGAGCAAACAGG
rnacentral:rRNA from 1 species